AGUUGAUCCUGGCUUAGGAUGAACGCUGGCGGCGUGCCUAACACAUGCAAGUCGAACGAAGCAUGCUUGAAUGAGAUUCGUCGAAGGAUAGUAUGACUUAGUGGCGGACGGGUGAGUAAUGUAUGAGCAACCUGCCUUUCAGAGGGGGACAACAGUUGGAAACGACUGCUAAUACCGCAUAACGUAUUUGGGUGGCAUCACCUGGAUACCAAAGGAGCAAUCCGCUGAAAGAUGGGCUCAUAUCUGAUUAGUUAGUUGGCAGGGUAACGGCCUACCAAGACUGCGAUCAGUAGCCGGACUGAGAGGUUGAACGGCCACAUUGGGACUGAGAUACGGCCCAGACUCCUACGGGAGGCAGCAGUGGGGAAUAUUGGGCAAUGGGCGAAAGCCUCGACCCAGCAACGCCGCGUGAAGGAAGAAGGUCUUCGGAUUGUAAACUUCUUUUAUGAGGGACGAAGGACGUGACGGUACCUCAUGAAUAAGCCACGGCUAACUACGUGCCAGCCGCGGC
rnacentral:rRNA from 1 species